UGAGAUAUGGGCAGGGCAGUGAGAUGUGGGCUGGGCAGGGCAGUGAGAUAUGGGCUGGGCAGGGGAGUGAGAUGUGGGCAGGGCAGUGAGAUAUGGGCAGGGCAGUGAGAUAUGGGCAGGGGAGUGAGAUAUGGGCAGGGCAGUGAGAUAUGGGCAGGGCAGUGAGAUAUGGGCUGGGCAGGGCAGUGAGAUAUGGGCUGGGCAGGGCAGUGAGAUAUGGGCAGGGCAGUGAGAUGUGGGCUGGGCAGGGGAGUGAGAUAUGGGCUGGGCAGGGCAGUGAGAUAUGGGCAGGGGAGUGAGAUAUGGGCUGGGCGGGGCAGGGAGAUAUGGGCUGGGCAGGGGAGUGAAAUGUGGGCUGGGCAGGGCAGUGAGAUAUGGGCAGGCAGUGAGAUAUGGGCAGGGCAGUGAGAUAUGGGCUGGGCAGGGCAGUGAGAUAUGGGCAGGGCAGUGAGAUAUGGGCAGGGCAGUGAGAUAUGGGCUGGGCAGGGCAGUGCGAUAUGGGCAGGGCAGGGAGAUAUGGGCAGGGAGAUAUGGGCUGGGCAGGGCAGUGAGUUAUGGGCUGGGCAGGGCAGUGAGAUAUGGGCUGGGCAGGGCAGUGAGAUAUGGGCAGGGCAUUGAGAUAUGGGCAGGGGAGUGAGAUAUGGGCAGGGCAGUGAGAUAUGGGCAGGGGAGUGAGAUAUGGGCAGGGCAGUGAGAUAUGGGCAGGGGAGUGAGAUAUGGGCAGGGCAGUGAGAUAUGGGCAGGACAGUGAGAUAUGGGCAGGGAAGUGAGAUAUGGCCAGGGCAGUGAGAUAUGGGCAGGGGAGUGAGAUAUGGGCAGGGCAGUGAGAUAUGGGCUGGGCAGGGGAUGAAAAUGUGGGCUGGGCAGGGCAGUGAGAUAUGGGCAGGCAGUGAGAUAUGGGCAGGGGAGUGAGAUAUGGGCAGGGCAUGAGAUAUGGGCAGGGGAAUGUGGGCUGGGCAGGGCAGUGAGAUAUGGGCUGGGCAGGGGAGUGAGAUGUGGGCAGGGCAAUGAGAUAUGGGCAGGGCAGUGAGAUAUGGGC
ensembl:lncRNA